AAGUAGAGCCUGGCGCCUGGGAGCGGCUGGCGCGGCGGGAUCCAGGGCCGACCCGGGCCGGACCGACCCCAGGCGGCGACGGAAUCAGUCCCCAAUGCCUGGAAAUUCCUCAUUGGAUUACUGUGUUUUAAACAGAAUUUUGUGAACAGCCUUUUAUCUCCAAGCAGAAAGAAAGAUGUGGAAAGCUUCAGCAGGCCACGCUGUGUCCAUCGCCCAGGAUGACGCGGGGGCCGAUGACUGGGAGACCGACCCCGAUUUUGUGAAUGAUGUGAGUGAGAAGGAGCAAAGAUGGGGUGCCAAGACGGUGCAGGGCUCCGGGCACCAGGAGCAUAUCAAGUAAGAGGCGUCGCCACCACCCUCCCGAGGGCCCCUCUGCGGAUGGAGCCCCAGGUGCAACAGGGCUCAUGGUCAUCUGUGGAGGGACAGCCCGUGUGGAAACUGCAUUUAUCUUCUUGACCUGAUACCCAUGCAGUAAAUGAAUAUAAGACACACACAUAUAUGUGUAUUUGUGUAAUGUGUGUGUUUAUAUGUGUAUAUUUAGAUACUUCUGUGCUCAGUAAUUUUUAAAUUCCCAUUGCAAACAAUUUCCAUAUUUAUAAUUUUAGAGUGUCCGCUUCUCAGUAUUGUGGCUUUUAUCAGGGAACAUUUGUCCCUAAGCUCUACCUUACAAGCGAGAGGUUUCUAAAGUAUGAGAUGUCUGAAUAACUGAGACCUUAAAUGCCCUGUCCCUUUUUUUAUUAUCUGGAAAUGAUUAUGUGUUAAUAGUGAGGUACUGUGAGCUUUGUGUUCUUAUCAAAAGCCCAGAGUCGGGCACUGAGUGAACCCUGUCAUUGUUUCUCACUUGGCACUAUCUAAAAUGCCAGCUCUUGGGGCAGUUUUUUUUUUCGUCGGGAAGUGUAGAUAAAAGGAACUUUUAAAAUAUGCUCAGACUUUUAUUUUAGGCCACGCUGGGUUCAGAGUGGAUCCUCCUUUCCCUGGCUGUGAAGGCAGCACCACUGACCCGGUGACCGCCUCAGUAUCCUGGGAAGACUGUCCCGCUUGACCACGGUCCCUUCAGCUGAGAAAGAUUUAGUCCUUCCUCCAGAAA
rnacentral:sRNA from 1 species